rnacentral:rRNA from 1 species
CACGGAGUUAGCCGGUGCUUAUUCCUCUGGUACCGUCAAGUGAUCAGGAAUGAUCUUUUUUCGUCCCAGAUAAAAGAAGUUUACAACCCAGAGGGCCGUCAUCCUUCACGCGGCAUGGCUGGUUCAGACUUUCGUCCAUUGACCAAUAUUCCUUACUGCUGCCUCCCGUAGGAGUCGGGCCCGUGUCUCAGUGCCCGUGUGACUGGUCGUGCUCUCACACCAGUUACUGAUCGUAGGCUUGGUGGGCCGUUACCCCGCCAACUACCUAAUCAGGCGCACGCCCAUCCAAAACCGCCGGAGCUAUAUUAAUAAAGUGAUGCCACUUCAUUAAGUUACGGUGUAUUAAUCCUCCUUUCGGAGGGCUAUUCACCAGUUAUGGGAAGGUUGCGUACGUGUUCCGCACCCGUUUGCCGGUCUCACAGCCGAGUAUUGCUACCAACUGAUCCCCUGACUUGCAUGUAUUAAGCCUGCCGCUAGCGUUCAUCCUGAGCCAGGAUCAAACUCU